rnacentral:rRNA from 1 species
AAAGCUUGCUUUUAAAAGGUUAGCGGCGGACGGGUGAGUAACACGUGGGCAACCUGCCUGUAAGAUCGGGAUAACGCCGGGAAACCGGGGCUAAUACCGGAUAGUUUUUUCCUCCGCAUGGAGGAAAAAGGAAAGACGGCUUUUGCUGUCACUUACAGAUGGGCCCGCGGCGCAUUAGCUAGUUGGUGGGGUAACGGCUCACCAAGGCAACGAUGCGUAGCCGACCUGAGAGGGUGAUCGGCCACAUUGGGACUGAGACACGGCCCAAACUCCUACGGGAGGCAGCAGUAGGGAAUCUUCCGCAAUGGACGAAAGUCUGACGGAGCAACGCCGCGUGAGUGAAGAAGGCCUUCGGGUCGUAAAACUCUGUUGCCGGGGAAGAACAAGUGCCGUUCGAACAGGGCGGCGCCUUGACGGUACCCGGCCAGAAAGCCACGGCUAACUACGUGCCAGCAGCCGCGGUAAUACGUAGGUGGCAAGCGUUGUCCGGAAUUAUUGGGCGUAAAGCGCGCGCAGGCGGCUUCUUAAGUCUGAUGUGAAAUCUUGCGGCUCAACCGCAAGCGGUCAUUGGAAACUGGGAGGCUUGAGUGCAGAAGAGGA